UAUACAUAUAUAGCUGGACAUACAUUUGUUGGAUGUUGUUGCUUUUAGCAAUUUCUCAUAACUUUGUUGUUGUUUUGUAGUGUCUGGCAGAAUGAUGGAAUCAAACUCUAUUAUGAAGUCAGCAGAUUUGGAGAUGCAAACGGUUGUUGUCGCUGAUCUCCUCCGUUUGUUUCCAGAUGAGCGGGAUGCUUUAAAUCAGUUUGACCUUGCUGCAUGUGAUAAACAGAUUCAAGAAUUACUUGACCUAAUUGAAAAUCCAACUAGAGAUGCUCUGAUUUCAGAUGUUGUUGGUAGGCUUACCUUGUUGUAUCAGCAGUAAUCACAACUGGAAGCUAAAAUAUAUUUUCAGUUACAGACUGACCAUCAGAUGGCUCUUCAAAGGGAGAUUGCUGCAAAGCUUGAGCUCUCAAAAGCUGAGGAGAGGAUGGAGAAAGCUGAAGCAAAGUUACUGGACCUGAAGGCAAAUGAGCUCAAGAAAGCUUCAUCCCAAAGGGGGGAACAGGCCCCCACCUUUCAGACCGUAACAGAAGUUUUGGAAGUCAGAUGGUCUGCAGUGAUUUCCUGCCAAAUCCCAUUGCAGUGAACAACCACCAAGAUGACCGAGUGCUGGACUCAGCAGGCACAAGUGGUCCAAUUAGGUGGGAGGAGCACCGUUCCAGCCUGAUCGGCACCCCUCUCCCUUCUGACUCUGUGUCGACCCCUAGGGGCCAGGAGAGACGCACAUGGAUCUCAGGAAACCAGUGACUAUUUUCACAUGGCUGAGGACUGAUUGUUAGCCCCAAAGACUGUGGACUUCAUCCUAUUCUUCAGAACUAAAAGGGGGGUGUUGGGACCCACAGCCAUGGAUUUCAACAUUAAACUCCAGUACAGACUUUCCAGAACUUUCAAAAUAAACCGCAUUAACCUUCUUCAGGCACAGCCAGGAAACGGGAUAACUGCGGAC